rnacentral:rRNA from 1 species
UACGAAGGGGGCUAGCGUUGCUCGGAAUCACUGGGCGUAAAGCGCACGUAGGCGGGUCUUUAAGUCGGAGGUGAAAUCCUGGAGCUCAACUCCAGAACUGCCUUCGAUACUGAGGAUCUCGAGUCCGGGAGAGGUGAGUGGAACUGCGAGUGUAGAGGUGAAAUUCGUAGAUAUUCGCAAGAACACCCGUGGCGAAGGCGGCUCUCUGGAACGCAACUGACGCUGAGACGCGAAAGCGUGGGGAGCAAACAGGG